rnacentral:rRNA from 1 species
CCUACGGGUGGCUGCAGUGGGGAAUUUUGGACAAUGGGGGCAACCCUGAUCCAGCCAUGCCGCGUGAGUGAAGAAGGCCUUCGGGUUGUAAAGCUCUUUCGGCCGGGAAGAAAUCGCUCAAGCUAAUACCUUGGGUGGAUGACGGUACCGGAAGAAGAAGCACCGGCUAACUACGUGCCAGCAGCCGCGGUAAUACGUAGGGUGCGAGCGUUGAUCGGAAUUACUGGGCGUGGAGCGUGCGCAGGCGGGUGAAAUCCCCGGGCUUAACCGGGGAACGGCGUUUGUGACUGUGGUGCUCGAGUGUGGCAGAGGGGGGUGGAAUUCCACGUGUAGCAGUGAAAUGCGUAGAGAUGGGGAGGAACACCGAUGGCGAAGGCAGCCCCCUGGGUUGACACUGACGCUCAUGCACGAAAGCGUGGGGAGCAAACAGGAUUAGAUACCCGGGUAGUC